rnacentral:rRNA from 1 species
GACGAACGCUGGCGGCGUGCCUAAUACAUGCAAGUCGAGCGAGCUGAAUUCACAGAUCUCUUCGGAGUGACGUGUUGGACGCUAGCGGCGGAUGGGUGAGUAACACGUGGGCAAUCUGCCCUAAAGACUGGGAUACCACUUGGAAACAGGUGCUAAUACCGGAUAACAAUGAUGGUUGCAUGACCAUUAUUUGAAAGGCGGCGCAAGCUGUCACUUUAGGAUGAGCCCGCGGUGCAUUAGCUAGUUGGUGAGGUAACGGCUCACCAAGGCCAUGAUGCAUAGCCGAGUUGAGAGACUGAUCGGGCCACAUUGGGACUGAGACACGGGCCCAAACUCCCACGGGAGGCAGCAGUGGGGAUAUUGCACAAUGGGGAAACCCUGAUGCAGCGACGCCGCGUGGAGGAAGAGGUUUUCGGA